AGAGUUUGAUCCUGGCUCAGGAUGAACGCUGGCGGCGUGGAUAAGGCAUGCAAGUCAAACGGGUUCAGACGCAAGUUUGAAUACCGUGGCAAACGAGGUAAUAACACGUAGGUACGCACUCUUUAGUCAGGCAUAACUAGUCGAAAGAUUAGAUAAUUCCUGAUAGUCUCUUCGGAGUAAAGAUUUAUCGCUAAAGAAGCGGCCUGCGGAGUAUCAGCUAGUUGGUAGGGUAACGGCCUACCAAGGCUAUGACGCUUAGGGGACCUGAGAGGGUGACCCCCAUCGAUGGAACUGAGAUACGGUCCAUACACCUACGGGUGGCAGCAGCCGAGAAUAUUCGACAAUGGGCGAAAGCCUGAUCGAGCGACGCCGCGUGGAGGAAGAAGUCCCUCGGGACGUAAACUCCUUUUAUAGGUUAGAAAGUAAUUGAUCGACCUAAGAAUAAGAGGUUGCUAAACUCGUGCCAGCAGCAGCGGUAAUACGAGUGCCUCAAGCGUUAUCCGGAAUUACUGGGCGUAAAGGGUGUGUAGGCGGUUCUGUUAGUCUUCUGUUAAAACUUCCGGCUUAACCGGAAAUCUGCAGAGGAAACGGCAGAACUUGAGGAUGUGAGGGGUUUGCAGAACUCAUGGUGUAGGGGUGAAAUCCGUUGAUAUCAUGGGGAAUACCAAAAGCGAAGGCAGCAAACUGGCACAUUUCUGACGUUGAAACACGAAAGCGUGGGUAGCGAACGGGAUUAGAUACCCUAGUAGUCC
rnacentral:rRNA from 1 species